CACGGGGGGAGCAAGCGUUGUUCGGAAUCACUGGGCGUAAAGGGCGUGUAGGCGGUCAAGUAAGUGGAAUGUGAAAGCCCCCGGCUUACCCGGGGAUCUGCAUCCCAAACUGCUUGGCUUGAGUACGGGAGAGGAUAGGGGAAUUCCUGGUGUAGCGGUGAAAUGCGCAGAUAUCAGGAAGAACACCCGUGGCGAAGGCGGUUCUCUGGGACGGUACUGACGCUGAGACGCGAAAGCGUGGGGAGCGAACAGG
rnacentral:rRNA from 1 species